rnacentral:rRNA from 1 species
GAUGAACGCUGGCUACAGGCUUAACACAUGCAAGUCGAGGGGAAACGACGGGGAAGCUUGCUUCCCCGGGCGUCGACCGGCGCACGGGUGAGUAACGCGUAUCCAACCUGCCUCUGACUGAGGGAUAACCCGUCGAAAGUCGGCCUAAUACCUCAUGGUAUCGUCUGCGGGCAUCCAACGACGAUUAAAGAUUUCAUCGGUCAGGGAUGGGGAUGCGUCUGAUUAGCUUGUUGGCGGGGUAACGGCCCACCAAGGCUACGAUCAGUAGGGGUUCUGAGAGGAAGGUCCCCCACAUUGGAGCUGAGACACGGUCCAAACUCCUACGGGAGGCAGCAGUGAGGUAUAUUGGGCAAUGGGCGAGAGCCUGAACCAGCCAAGUGGCGUGCAGGAAGACGGCCCUAUGGGUUGUAAACUGCUUUUAUGCGGGGAUAAAGUGAGGGACGUGUCCCUCAUUGCAGGUACCGCAUGAAUAAGGACCGGCUAAUUCCGUG